GGCCCCCGAGAUAUACAGUACGGCUCUGAGAGAGUAGCCCCGAGAUGGGUACUGAGACACGAACUCAGGCCUUAUGGGGCGCAUCAGGCGAGUAAACUUUGCAAUGUGCGAAAGCACGACAAGGUUAAUCCGAGUGGUUUCUGCUAAAGAAACCUUUUGUCAGUCCUAGAAACACUGAUGAAUAAGGGGUGGGCAAGUUCUGGUGUCAGCCGCCGCGGUAAAACCAGCACCUCAAGUGGUCAGGAUGAUUAUUGGGCCUAAAGCAUCCGUAGCCGGCUCUGUAAGUUUUCGGUUAAAUCUGUACGCUCAACGUACAGUCUGCCGGGAAUACUGCAGAGCUAGGGAGUGGGAGAGGUAGACGGUACUCGGUAGGAAGGGGUAAAAUCCUUUGAUCUAUUGAUGACCACCUGUGGCGAAGGCGGUCUACCAGAACACGUCCGACGGUGAGGGAUGAAAGCUGGGGGAGCAAACCGGAUUAGAUACCCGGGUAGUCCCAGCUGUAAACUAUGCAAACUCAGUGAUGCAUUGGCUUGUGGCCAAUGCAGUGC
rnacentral:rRNA from 1 species